AGUGAAGCUGUGACGAAGAAUCCAAGUUUCACUUUCAUGUACCUCAAGUGUAGGAUCGCUAUGUAUGUAUGUAUGUAUUUAUCAAAAUACA